rnacentral:tRNA from 1 species
GCAGUCGUGGCCGAGUGGUUAAUGCGAUGGACUAGAAAUUCAUUGGGGUCUCCCCGCACAGGUUCAAAUCCUGUCGACUGCG